AACGCUAGCUACAGGCUUAACACAUGCAAGUCGAGGGGCAGCAUGAUUGAAGCUUGCUUCAAUUGAUGGCGACCGGCGCACGGGUGAGUAACACGUACCCAACCUUCCGUACACUCAGGGAUAGCCUUUCGAAAGAAAGAUUAAUACCUGAUGGUAUCUUAAGCACACAUGUAAUUAAGAUUAAAGAUUUAUCGGUGUACGAUGGGGAUGCGUUCCAUUAGGUAGAUGGCGGGGUAACGGCCCACCAUGCCUACGAUGUCUAGGGGUUCUGAGAGGAAGGUCCCCCACACUGGAACUGAGACACGGUCCAGACUCCUACGGGAGGCAGCAGUGAGGAAUAUUGGUCAAUGGUCGGAAGACUGAACCAGCCAAGUAGCGUGAAGGAUGAGGGUUCUAUGGAUUGUAAACUUCUUUUAUACGGGAAUAAAACACCUUACGUGUAGGGUCUUGUAUGUACCGUAUGAAUAAGCAUCGGCUAACUCCGUGCCAGCAGCCGCGGUAAUACGGAGGAUGCGAGCGUUAUCCGGAUUUAUUGGGUUUAAAGGGAGCGUAGACGGGAGAUUAAGUCAGUUGUGAAAGGCUGCGGCUCAACCGCAGCACUGCAGUUGAUACUGGUUUCCUUGAGUGCGGUUGAGGUGUAUGGAAUUCGUGGUGUAGCGGUGAAAUGCUUAGAUAUCACGAAGAACUCCGAUUG
rnacentral:rRNA from 1 species